rnacentral:rRNA from 1 species
GAUGAACGCUGACAGAAUGCUUAACACAUGCAAGUCAACUUGAACUUCGGUUUGGGUGGCGGACGGGUGAGUAACGCGUAAAGAACUUGCCUCACAGAUAGGGACAACAUUUGGAAACGAAUGCUAAUACCUGAUAUUAUGAUUUUAGGGCAUCCUAGGAUUAUGAAAGCUAUAUGCGCUGUGAGAGAGCUUUGCGUCCCAUUAGCUAGUUGGAGAGGUAACGGCUCACCAAGGCGAUGAUGGGUAGCCGGCCUGAGAGGGUGAUCGGCCACAAGGGGACUGAGACACGGCCCUUACUCCUACGGGAGGCAGCAGUGGGGAAUAUUGGACAAUGGACCAAGAGUCUGAUCCAGCAAUUCUGUGUGCACGAUGAAGUUUUUCGGAAUGUAAAGUGCUUUCAGUUGGGUAGAAAAAAAUGACGGUACCAACAGAAGAAGUGACGGCUAAAUACGUG